AUUGCCCAGUAACGGCGAGUGAAGCGGCAACAGCUCAAAUUUGAAAUCUGGCCCCAGCGGUCCGAGUUGUAAUUUGCAGAGGAUGCUUUUGGCGAGGCGCCUUCCGAGUUCCCUGGAACGGGACGCCGUAGAGGGUGAGAGCCCCGUACGGUUGGUUGCCGAGCCUCUGUAAAGCUCCCUCGAAGAGUCGAGUAGUUUGGGAAUGCUGCUCUAAACGGGAGGUAAACCCCUUCUAAAGCUAAAUACUGGCCAGAGACCGAUAGCGCACAAGUAGAGUGAUCGAAAGAUGAAAAGCACUUUGAAAAGAGAGUUAAACAGCACGUGAAAUUGUUGAAAGGGAAGCGCUUGUGACCAGACUUGCGUCCGGCAGCUUACCCGCCCCUUGGGGCGGUGCAUUCUGCCGGCUCAGGCCAGCAUCAGUUCUCGGUUGGGGGAGAAGGGCGGCGGGAACGUGGCUCUUCGGGAGUGUUAUAGCCUGCCCGCUCCGCCCCUUUCCGUGGACUGAGGUUCGGCGCUUCUGCAGGGAUUGCUGGGCGUAAUGGUCACUAGGCGACCCCGUCUUGAAACACGGACCAAGGGAGUCGUCUUAAGCAUGCGAGUGUUCGGGGUGCAAAACCCCCUACGCGUAAUGAAAGUAAACGGAGGGUGAGGAGCUUCGGCGCAUCAUCGACGGAUCUUGAUGUUUUUCGGGAUGGAUUUGAGUGGGAGCAUGGCGGGGCCGGAACCGAAAAGAAAGAUGAACUAUGCGUGGUAUGGGGCAAAGCCAGGAGGAAAACUCUGGGUGGAGGCUCGCAGCGUUCUGACGUGCAAAUCGAUCGUCAAAUCUGCGCAUGGGGCGAAAGACUAAUCGGAAUCUUCUAGUAGCUGGUUCGGCCGAGUUC
rnacentral:rRNA from 1 species